UGACCUCUAUCCUCAGUGGUGAGCUAGACAGACAUGACCCCUAUCCUCAGUGGUGAGGUGAGCUAGACAGACAUGACCUCUAUCCUCAGUGGUGAGACAGACAUGACCUCUAUCCUCAGUGGUGAGCUAGACAGACAUGACCUCUAUCCUCAGUGGUGAGCUAGACAGACAUGACCCCUAUCCUCAGUGGUGAGCUAGACAGACAUGACCCCUAUCCUCAGUGGUGAGCUAGACAGACAUGACCUCUAUCCUCAGUGGUGAGGUGAGCUAGACAGACAUGACCUCUAUCCUCAGUGGUGAGCUAGACAGACAUGACCUCUAUCCUCAGUGGUGAGCUAGACAGACAUGACCUCUAUCCUCAGUGGUGAGACAGACAUGACCUCUAUCCUCAGUGGUGAGCUAGACAGACAUGACCUCUAUCCUCAGUGGUGAGCUAGACAGACAUGAACUCUAUCCUCAGUGGUGAGGUGAGCUAGACAGACAUGACCUCUAUCCUCAGUGGUGAGCUAGACAGACAUGACCCCUAUCCUCAGUGGUGAGGUGAGCUAGACAGACAUGACCUCUAUCCUCAGUGGUGAGGUGAGCUAGACAGACAUGACCUCUAUCCUCAGUGGUGAGCUAGACAGACAUGACCUCUAUCCUCAG